CCUACGGGUGGCAGCAGUCGGGAAUAUUGCGCAAUGGAGGAAACUCUGACGCAGUGACGCCGCGUGCAGGAAGAAGGUUUUCGGAUUGUAAACUGCUUUAGACAGGGAAGAAAAACGACAGUACCUGUCGCCUAAGCUCCGGCUAACUACGUGCCAGCAGCCUCGGUAAUAAGUAGGGAGCAAGCGUUAUCCGGAUUUAUUGGGUGUAAAGGGUGCGUAGACGGGAAAACAAGUUAGGUGGGAAAUCCCUCAGCUUAACUGAGGAACUGCAACUAAAACUAUUUUUCUUGAGUGCGGGAGAGGAAAGUGGAAUUCCUAGUGUAGCGGUGAAAUGCGUAGAUAUUAGGAGGAACACCAGUGGCGAAGGCGACUUGCUGGACAGUAACUGACGUUGAGGCACGAAAGUGUGGGGAGCAAACAGGAUUAGAUACCCCUGUAGUC
rnacentral:rRNA from 1 species